GGUCAAGAAAGCUGUGGGAAG
rnacentral:miRNA from 5 species